GUGGGUGGUGCGCUGCGACCCGAGUGAACUGCCACGGACGGGGUCUAGCCUUCCAGUGGUGUGAGGACACCUCCCCCAUCUCACUUCCAGCCCAAUGCGCGGCCAGUGCGUUCGAUUUGCUCUCUUUGGGCGGACGGCCGCGGUGUGUGCCGGGCUGCGGGUGCGAUUGUGUGGAGUUGAGGCGGUUUUCCUUCUUCCUCUCCCGGAAAAUUCCCGGUCGGUGAAGAUGCAAACGGCGCUAAGUCCGCCGCCCGCUGGUCGAUUGUGGAUUUUCUUGCGGUUCCCGUUGAAUUUUCCAUUUUCCUGGCGCAGUCUGAUUAGAACGUUUCCUUGGCACCUUCUGCCGACGAUUUCCCGAGGCUGUUGCAUUCGACUUUCGCUGCAACCCUUGCUGGAUUCUUGUUUGUGUGUGGCUGUGGUCCUGCAGUGAGAAAAUUAUAAUUGGUAUCCAAAAAAAGGGGAACUCAAUACCGGUAAGUAUGAGUUAUCGAAAUCAUCCCUGAACAGGUAUUUGAUGCAACUGCUAACUAACUGGCCCUAACAAAAUUGGACUACAUUUCCUGUUUAAACAAGAUUUUGUUUUAAGCUAAGAGAAUAAAAGACCAACCAUAAUAGACAUGAGAGCGUAUAUGUGGCUUAUGUUUAAUUCAUUCAAUGGGAUUUUAAUAGCAAGUGAACUCAACAACGUUUAAGUGCAAUUUUUUUAUAAAUCAACUUCCGGUAAUAUAAUACCUCAUAAUUUCCUUUAAUUUACUCAUUGCGCUUCUAAAUGUCGCACAACAAAAAUUUCUAAGAAUAUAGCUGAUGUGUGACAUAUGUGCAUAUACCUGAUAUUCGUUAGAAUAUUGACAAUCUGCACAUAUUCUCUGUCUAUUAUGGUUAGACCUUAAGUUCAGAUCUACUGUGUAUAUUUAUGUGUAUUUGAUUUUCAAUAAACGCAGCAUAUACUAAUAGAA